GCCAUUCUGUCUUACCGUCGCGCUCGCUUUCAGAAAUUUUUCUUUAGUGUAGAGCAUGGAUAGCCAGGCUAGCGGAAUAAAAGGGCGUGGUGUGUUAUGGUGCCAUGAAGAGAUCCUGGAUCUCUUGGACAUAUGGGGAGAGAAGAAGGUCCAGGAGCAGCUUCGGAAAAGUCAUCGAAAUAUUGACCUUUUCGGUGUAGUGGCGGCCGAUCUGAAGGUCAGAGGACACAACAGGUCCGCUGAGGAAUGUCGGCGUAAAACCAAGAAUAUGCGGCAGGAAUACCGGAAGGUCAUUAAUCAUAAUGCUCGGUCCGGUAAUAACCGUGUCCGGUGCCCCUAUUAUGACGAGCUACAUGCCAUUCUUCCUGGGGAUGCCUCAGUAGCACCGAAAAGACUGGUAUCCAGUUUGUCCGUCGUACGGGAGGUUCCACGUACCAACGCUACUGUCGCUUCCUACUCGGCGUCUCCUUCCAGCCCCGAACUUUUCAAUAGCUCAUUCGCAACCAUAGAUCUGGAUACCUACCUGACCGAAGACUCUGGUGCUGUGGCUACUGAAGCAGGGCUUUCACGUGUACACGAGGACGAGGAUACUUGUGUGGCGGAACUCCAGGGAAUCCUUGAUGAAGACGAUACCGCCAGCGGCCAGUCAGAGAGCAGACGAGAACACAUUCCCCGGACCUCAUCCUCCAUUCCGGAAGCCAGGGAGGACAAUUUAUCGGUGUCAUCCAUGACAUCAACAGGCAGCUCAGGUAACGAAGCCAGCAGUAACAGCAUUGUGGGCAGACUCCUGCUCCCGGUCUACCGUUGACAGCAGCAAGCGCCCCACC
rnacentral:lncRNA from 1 species